ensembl:snRNA U6 U6 spliceosomal RNA
GUGCUCGCUUCGGCAGCACAUAUACUAAAAUUGGAACGAUACAGAGAAGAUUAGCAUGGCCCCUGAACAAGGAUGACAUGCAAAUUUGUGAUCACAUGAAAAAGAAU